rnacentral:rRNA from 1 species
AUUGAACGCUGGCGGCAGGCCUAACACAUGCAAGUCGAGCGAGCGGCGGACGGGUGAGUAAUGUAUGGGGACUGCCCGAUAGAGGGGGAUAACUACUGGAAACGGUAGCUAAUACCGCAUACUAUCGGAUAACCCAUAUGGGAUUAGCUAGUUGGUGAGGUAAUGGCUCACCAAGGCGACGAUCCCUAGCUGGUCUGAGAGGAUGAUCAGCCACAAUGGGACUGAGACAAGGCCCAGACCCCAACGGGAGGAGGAGUGGGGAAUAUUGCACAAUGGGCAGAAGCCUGAUGCAGCCAAUCCGCGGGGAUGAAGGAGGCCUUAGGGUUGUAAAGUACUUUCAGCGGGGAGGCGUUAACCGGAGAAGAAACACCGGCUAACUCCGUGCCAGCAGCCGCGGUAAUUC